rnacentral:lncRNA from 1 species
CGCCACCUCCAUAUGUCUACAAAUCUCCACCACCACCACCAUACAAGUAUGAAUCACCUCCACCUCCACCAUACAAGUAUGAAUCACCUCCACCACCUCCAUAUGUUUACAAAUCUCCUCCGCCACCGCCUUAUGUCUACAAGUCACCACCGCCUCCACCUUACAAAUAUGAAUCUCCACCACCUCCCCCAUACAAGUAUGAGUCACCACCGCCCCCUCCUUACAAAUAUGAAUCACCUCCACCACCUCCUUAUGUCUACAAGUCUCCACCACCUCCACCUUACAAGUAUGAAUCUCCACCACCUCCCCCAUACAAGUAUGAAUCACCACCGCCCCCUCCUUACAAAUACGAAUCACCUCCAUAUGUCUACAAAUCUCCGCCGCCACCACCUUACAUCUACAAGUCUCCUCCACCUCCGCCAUACAAGUACGAGUCACCUCCACCCCCACCUUACAAGUAUGAAUCACCACCACCGCCUCCUUAUGUCUACAAGUCACCACCUCCCCCUCCAUACAAAUACGAAUCACCUCCUCCACCCCCAUAUGUCUACAAAUCUCCACCACCCCCACCAUACAAGUAUGAGUCACCACCACCCCCACCAUACAAGUACGAAUCACCUCCUCCACCUCCAUAUGUCUACAAGUCACCACCACCUCCACCUUACAAGUACGAGUCACCUCCUCCACCUCCCUCAUACAAGUAUGAAUCACCUCCAUAUGUCUACAAAUCUCCACCACCACCUCCUUACGUCUAUAAGUCACCACCACCCCCACCUUACAAGUAUGAAUCACCUCCUUACAUCUACAAGUCACCACCACCUCCACCUUACAAGUAUGAGUCACCACCACCACCUCCUUACAUCUACAAAUCGCCACCGCCUCCACCUUAUGUCUACAAAUCUCCCCCACCCCCACCUUACAAAUAUGUCUCACCACCACCACCACC